rnacentral:rRNA from 1 species
GAUCAUGGCUCAGGAUGAACGCUAGCUACAGGCUUAACACAUGCAAGUCGAGGGGCAGCGAGAGCGUAGCAAUACGCUGUCGGCGACCGGCGCACGGGUGAGUAACGCGUAUCCAACCUUCCCCUUAGUAGGGCAUAGCCCGGCGAAAGUCGGAUUAAUACCCUAUGUUUUCCGAAGAUGGCAUCUGAUUUGGAAUAAAGAUUCAUCGCUAAGGGAUGGGGAUGCGUCCGAUUAGCUUGCCGGCGGGGUAACGGCCCACCGGGGCUUCGAUCGGUAGGGGUUCUGAGAGGAAGGUCCCCCACAUUGGAACUGAGACACGGUCCAAACUCCUACGGGAGGCAGCAGUGAGGAAUAUUGGUCAAUGGGCGUGAGCCUGAACCAGCCAAGUAGCGUGAGGGACGACGGCCCUAUGGGUUGUAAACCUCUUUUGCAGGGGAAUAAAGUGCGGCACGCGUGCCGUUUUGCAUGUACCCUGAGAAUAAGGACCGGCUAAUUCCGUGCCAGCAGCGGC